GCUGAGAACACGCAUACUCACUGUGCCCCA
rnacentral:piRNA from 1 species